AUGAGAUUCGAAUCCGAAUCAACCACAGCAAGAAACUCUGGAACUGCAAUGUCAUGAUUUUCACUGAAACGUGGCUAAACAACGGAAUACCGGACAAUGCUAUUGCUCUAGCUGAGCACCACAUUCUCCGGGCAGACAGAACGGCGGAUGACUCCGGUAAGACCAGAGGUGGGGGAUUGUGCAUCUAUGUUAACAAAGCCUGGUGCACGAACUCUACUAUCAUUGGGAGACACUGCUCAGCUAACCUAGAGUUUCUCAUGGUUAAGUGCAGACCGUUCUAUCUGCCGCGGGAGUUCACAUCCACCAUUAUAACUGCCGCUUACAUUCCUCCUGAUGCUGAUGCCAAGCUUGCUAUGAACAAACUUCAUGCGGCCAUCAGUAAACAACAGACUGAUCACCCAGAGGCUGCACACAUUGUGGCGGGCGAUUUUAAUCAUUCCAAUUUGAAGACUGUAUUUCCUAAAUUUCAUAAAAACAUUCUCUGUCACACCAGAGGAAACAAAACUCUGGAUCAAGUUUAUACAAACAUGGCUGAAGCCUAUGCUGUGACCCCCCUCCCCCACUUCGGACAAUCAGAUCACCUUUCUUUGUUUCUCACCCCCAAGUACUCCCCCCUCAUCAACCGUGUGAAGCCAUCAGUGAGGACCAUCAAAGUGUGGCCAGCGGGGGCUGACAUCACACUCCAGGACAGGUUCCAACACACAGACUGGAGUAUGUUUGCUUCACAGGCCACCUGUGGCUCUCACACGGACAUCGACAUCUACACCUCCUCUGUUCUGAACUACAUUAACACCACCAUAGACACGGUUACUACUCAGAAACAGAUCACCACAUACCCUAAUCAGAAGCCUUGGAUGAACAAGGAGGUGCGUCUCCUGCUGAAGGCACGCAACAAUGCCUUCAGAUCGGGUGAUGCACAGGCCUACAGCAUUUCCAGGGCGAACCUGAAGAGGGGCAUCAAAAAGGCCAAGCACUGCUACAAACUAAAGCUAGAGGAAUACUUCUCCAAUGCUGAUCCUCGACGCUUGUGGCAGGGCAUUCAGGCCAUUACAGACUAUAAACCCAGCAACUCAGCCCCCAC
rnacentral:lncRNA from 1 species